rnacentral:rRNA from 1 species
AUCUCUUCGGAGCAUUUACGUAGGUGCUGCAUGGUUGUCGUCAGCUCGUGCCGUGAGGUGUCGGGUUAAGUCCCAUAACGAGCGCAACCCCUACCUUUAGUUGCCAUCAGGUAAUGCUGGGGACUCUAAAGGAACUGCCUACGCAAGUAGUGAGGAAGGCGGGGAUGACGUCAAAUCAGCACGGCCCUUACGUCCAGGGCUACACACGUGCUACAAUGGCCGAUACAGAGGGCAGCUACCUGGUGACAGGAUGCAAAUCUCCAAAGUCGGUCUCAGUUCGGAUCGGAGUCUGCAACCCGACUCCGUGAAGUUGGAUUCGCUAGUAAUCGCGCAUCAGCCAUGGCGCGGUGAAUACGUUCCCGGGCCUU